rnacentral:lncRNA from 1 species
AAUCAGUGUGUGGACAUGGCGUUUUUCCAGAAAUGUGAGCUGCUACCCUGUUGACCUCUCUCUCUUAGGCCAGCUAUGCUACAGUGGAACACAGAGAACAAAAGUGACAAUUUCUGGGUGAUCUACUCUUAGUAGAAAAAACUCAGAAUAACAGAUAACCUGUCACCACCCAUGACCAGACAAAGCCAGCCUGGCUUGGAGAGAAGAGGAGAGACGGGGAGCUGGGGAUGCCCCGAGGAAAGAACCAAGGCGCUGUGAGCAGAGGAAGCCCCGCUGACCUCAGUACCAAGGACACAGCACGCGAGCACGGAGGUGACGUCGGAGGGACCUGCUGCUGCUGGACACCUCGUCCUGCCCCUCGAGCUGCGUGGCCGGCCACAGGUUCCUGAGUGAAGGGUACUACGAGCAGACAGCCUUUCAUCACGCAGCGCUGCCUGCCUGGACCGUGGGUUCUCCCUCUCCAUUUAGUUCACCCAGAAGAGGCGUUUUAUCUGAUAGAAUAGCAUCACGCAAAGCUGGUACCUCUUAUCCGACAUUUUCCUGCUUCCUCAUUUAUUUGUCUGUUCUUUUUUUACUUACUUAUUAUAGUUUGUAAAUGCCAUGAGGCUAGUCUCUCCUCACUCCUGCAAUCUCAUAUUUUGGAAUACUGUAUGAUGCGUGGUAGUCGCACAGUAGAUAUUUGUUGGCCUAGUUGAUAGGAAACCAUGUCUCUUAAUACUUAAAAAUACUAGUGAAUGAUGGAUCCCAUCUUAUGUAUUUCUAAGAAAUGUUUGCUGAUCCUUAGGCCUUCCCUGCUUCCUUCAAAGACAAGCCUAAGCGCCCCGUCUUGAGUGCCCUGCCUGCUCUCCUGCAAUCUGAGAUAGAGGCCGGCCUGCACCCAGCUCUGCUAAGGAGGUCAGUCUCCCCGGAAGGGCUCGC